rnacentral:rRNA from 1 species
GAUGAACGCUGGCGGCGUGCCUAAUACAUGCAAGUCGAGCGAAUGGAUUAAGAGCUUGCUCUUAUGAAGUUAGCGGCGGACGGGUGAGUAACACGUGGGUAACCUGCCCAUAAGACUGGGAUAACUCCGGGAAACCGGGGCUAAUACCGGAUAACAUUUUGAACCGCAUGGUUCGAAAUUGAAAGGCGGCUUCGGCUGUCACUUAUGGAUGGUCCCGCGUCGCAUUAGCUAGUUGGUGAGGUAACGGCUCACCAAGGCAACGAUGCGUAGCCGACCUGAGAGGGUGAUCGGCCACACUGGGACUGAGACACGGCCCAGACUCCUACGGGAGGCAGCAGUAGGGAAUCUUCCGCAAUGGACGAAAGUCUGACGGAGCAACGCCGCGUGAGUGAUGAAGGCUUUCGGGUCGUAAAACUCUGUUGUUAGGGAAGAACAAGUGCUAGUUGAAUAAGCUGACACCUUGACGGUACCUAACCAGAAAGCCACGGCUAACUACGUGCCAGCAGCCGCAGCAA